rnacentral:sRNA from 1 species
UGCGCGCAUCGGGUGGGGAGGAAGGCCUCCCAAAGGGCACCCUGCCUUAGGGUGUUGUGCAAGCAUCCUUGCUUGGAUCCUGUCGGCCGUGAGAAUCUCACCCGGGCUCCUGGGCAGUGGGACCCGAGUGUAUAGCCCUCCAGAGUGGAUCCGCUACCAUCGCUACCAUGGCAGGUCGGCGGCAGUCUGGUCCCUGGGGAUCCUGCUAUAUGAUAUGGUGUGUGGAGAUAUUCCUUUCGAGCAUGAUGAAGAGAUCAUCAGGGGCCAGGUUUUCUUCAGGCAGAGGGUCUCUUCAGAAUGUCAGCAUCUCAUUAGAUGGUGCUUGGCCCUGAGACCAUCAGAUAGGCCAACCUUCGAAGAAAUCCAGAACCAUCCAUGGAUGCAAGAUGUUCUCCUGCCCCAGGAAACUGCUGAGAUCCACCUCCACAGCCUGUCGCCGGGGCCCAGCAAAUAGCAGCCUUUCUGGCAGGUCCUCCCCUCUCUGUCAGAUGCCCAAGGGAGGGGAAACUUCUGUCUCCAGCUUCCCGAGUACCAGUGACACUUCUCGCCAAGCAGGACAGUGCUUGAUACAGGAACAACAUUUACAACUCAUUCCAGAUCCUAGGCCUCUGGAGGCUGCCUCCCAACAGUGGGGAAGAGAGACUCUCCAGGGGUCCUAGGCCUCAACUCCUCCC